UACGUAGGGGGCAAGCGUUGUCCGGAUUUAUUGGGCGUAAAGAGCGUGUAGGCGGCCAGACAGGUCUGCUGUGAAAACUCGAGGCUCAACCUCGAGAUGUCGGCGGAAACCUUCUGGCUAGAGUCCGGAAGAGGAGAGUGGAAUUCCUGGUGUAGCGGUGAAAUGCGCAGAUAUCAGGAAGAACACCUAUGGCGAAGGCAGCUCUCUGGGACGGUACUGACGCUGAGACGCGAAAGCGUGGGGAGCAAACAGG
rnacentral:rRNA from 1 species